UACGUAGGGUGCGAGCGUUGUCCGGAAUUAUUGGGCGUAAAGGGCUCGUAGGCGGUCUGUUGCGUCAGGAGUGAAAACUCGGGGCUUAACCCCGAGCCUGCUUCUGAUACGGGCAGACUAGAGGUAUGCAGGGGAGAACGGAAUUCCUGGUGUAGCGGUGAAAUGCGCAGAUAUCAGGAGGAACACCGGUGGCGAAGGCGGUUCUCUGGGCAUUACCUGACGCUGAGGAGCGAAAGUGUGGGAGGCGAACAGG
rnacentral:rRNA from 1 species